rnacentral:lncRNA from 1 species
CUUAAUUAUAGGGACAACUUUUUAGGGGUGAAAACGGGACAGGUCGUGGACGGGACGGUCUUACCUCGGUAUUUGUUCCGUUUUGCUAGAACGGGUUAGACACCCUGGACCCCUGCGCCGUCGUUAGUAUCGCGGAAUUUUUACAAAAUCUUUUUUUGAAAUUUAGGGAUGUACAAAAUCUGUCGUUAAAUCCGUCUUUACAAGUCUGUUUUCUUGUAGUCGUACCUGAACGUUCAUUCUAGGCAGAGCUCUUAGGAUUUCUGAUUGUGAGGGGUGCUACUCGAUCAAUCAAGGUAUUGAUAGGCAAAUUAAUCUAUUGGUUUCAAGCAUUGAACUGUAAUCUUUCUGGACUAGAGCUAGUACUUCCCAAUCCGAAGCUCCUCUACCGGGCGGUGAGAAUUCGAAGGUCGACUAGAAUUUGGCUAGCACAAGGAUUGAUUUGGGCGGAUUGGAUGUUUCGUCGUUAUGCGAAAAGGAUAUCCUUAGCUCAUAUCGUGCGUAGUCUUAAGAUUGCAAGAUCCGACCGAAACAAAUAGCCACGAUAAUAAUUGCGAUAAUCAUGAGAAAUCGAUCAUUGAUCACAUGUUCGUAAAUUGUAGAUUCAAUCAACCACUGUGGUUUGUGGUCUAAGUUUAUGGAAACUACUGGGUGUCUACUAUGGCAGGUCAUGUGGAUUUCUCACUGGUCUAAUGAACUAUACAUUAAAGUUUUUGGUUCGAAUUUUACUUUAUACAUUUUCACUUAAAUUACUAGAUGAUAUAUUAUAUAAUUCUGGUAUAUCAUUUACAUAUGUAGAGAUGUAAAUGAUUAAUUGAUGAUUAAAAUUUAAAAGUUUAAAUGAAUCUAUUUUUUUGAAUUAAAAUAAAAUCAUUACAUCUAUUACAAAUUUAAACGAAUCUUGUAAAGAUGUGUUUUUUUUUCACUUUAGCUGGCGACUUUGCGUGGCUUCAGGAGAGAAG